rnacentral:rRNA from 1 species
AAAUGCACAUGCUGUGAGCUCGAUGAGUAGGGCGGGACACGUGGUAUCCUGUCUGAAUAUGGGGGGACCAUCCUCCAAGGCUAAAUACUCCUGACUGACCGAUAGUGAACCAGUACCGUGAGGGAAAGGCGAAAAGAACCCCGGCGAGGGGAGUGAAAAAGAACCUGAAACCGUGUACGUACAAGCAGUGGGAGCACGCUUAGGCGUGUGACUGCGUACCUUUUGUAUAAUGGGUCAGCGACUUAUAUUCUGUAGCAAGGUUAACCGAAUAGGGGAGCCGAAGGGAAACCGAGUCUUAACUGGGCGUUAAGUUGCAGGGUAUAGACCCGAAACCCGGUGAUCUAGCCAUGGGCAGGUUGAAGGUUGGGUAACACUAACUGGAGGACCGAACCGACUAAUGUUGAAAAAUUAGCGGAUGACUUGUGGCUGGGGGUGAAAGGCCAAUCAAACCGGGAGAUAGCUGGUUCUCCCCGAAAGCUAUUUAGGUAGCGCCUCGUGAAUUCAUCUCCGGGGGUAGAGCACUGUUUCGGCAAGGGGGUCAUCCCGACUUACCAACCCGAUGCAAACUGCGAAUACCGGAGAAUGUUAUCACGGGAGACACACGGCGGGUGCUAACGUCCGUCGUGAAGAGGGAAACAACCCAGACCGCCAGCUAAGGUCCCAAAGUCAUGGUUAAGUGGGAAACGAUGUGGGAAGGCCCAGACAGCCAGGAUGUUGGCUUAGAAGCAGCCAUCAUUUAAAGAAAGCGUAAUAGCUCACUGGUCGAGUCGGCCUGCGCGGAAGAUGUAACGGGGCUAAACCAUGCACCGAAGCUGCGGCAGCGACGCUUAUGCGUUGUUGGGUAGGGGAGCGUUCUGUAAGCCUGUGAAGGUGUGCUGUGAGGCAUGCUGGAGGUAUCAGAAGUGCGAAUGCUGACAUAAGUAACGAUAAAGCGGGUGAAAAGCCCGCUCGCCGGAAGACCAAGGGUUCCUGUCCAACGUUAAUCGGGGCAGGGUGAGUCGACCCCUAAGGCGAGGCCGAAAGGCGUAGUCGAUGGGAAACAGGUUAAUAUUCCUGUACUUGGUGUUACUGCGAAGGGGGGACGGAGAAGGCUAUGUUGGCCGGGCGACGGUUGUCCCGGUUUAAGCGUGUAGGCUGGUUUUCCAGGCAAAUCCGGAAAAUCAAGGCUGAGGCGUGAUGACGAGGCACUACGGUGCUGAAGCAACAAAUGCCCUGCUUCCAGGAAAAGCCUCUAAGCAUCAGGUAACAUCAAAUCGUACCCCAAACCGACACAGGUGGUCAGGUAGAGAAUACCAAGGCGCUUGAGAGAACUCGGGU